CCCAAGAGUUCAUAUCGACGGCGGUGUUUGGCACCUCGAUGUCGGCUCAUCACAUCCUGGGGCUGAAGUAGGUCCCAAGGGUAUGGCUGUUCGCCAUUUAAAGUGGUACGCGAGCUGGGUUUAGAACGUCGUGAGACAGUUCGGUCCCUAUCUGCCGUGGGCGCUGGAGAACUGAGGGGGGCUGCUCCUAGUACGAGAGGACCGGAGUGGACGCAUCACUGGUGUUCGGGUUGUCAUGCCAAUGGCACUGCCCGGUAGCUAAAUGCGGAAGAGAUAAGUGCUGAAAGCAUCUAAGCACGAAACUUGCCCCGAGAUGAGUUCUCCCUGACCCUUUAAGGGUCCUGAAGGAACGUUGAAGACGACGACGUUGAUAGGCCGGGUGUGUAAGCGCAGCGAUGCGUUGAGCUAACCGGUACUAAUGAACCGUGAGG
rnacentral:rRNA from 1 species